UUGACAUUUGGUUGACUACGUUGACGUUGACAGUUUACCAAACAUCUGUCUCUUUUCAUUGAAUUUUUGUGGAGACCAACACGAAAUCACAAAAUUUAACUUUUUUGUGUUUUGGUGCUUAUAAAGACUAAUGUCUGCCCAUAAAACAUUCAUUAUCAAGCGAAAGCUUGCUAAAAAACUGAAGCAGAAUAGGCCUAUUCCACAAUGGGUUCGUAUGAGAACUGGAAACACCAUCAGAUAUAACGCUAAGAGGCGUCACUGGCGUAGAACCAAGCUGAAGUUGUAAGCUGGUUAUGUAUUUUAUGUAUUUAAGAUAAUAAAUAUAUACAUUUCGUCAUGA